UAGAGAAAGUGGUACAUAAACCACUAAUUGACUAAAAUCAUAUCUUGUCUGACCAGGGCCCUGUUGAUGAAAUGUCCCAUUAUCCAGCUCAAAUUAACGAGAUGAUUGACAUCUGGCUAUCUCAGUUCCUCAAAGGCUGAUCCGCGCUAACUAAUCAAGCCGGCUCAAAUGAACCUGCGCUGGAGCAGGUUGAAGUUUUUCGAUGUGUUGCUAUGGUGAUUUAGCCAAACCUGCUUCGGGGAACCCAAAAGCCUAAUCUACGGGCUCUUAUCCUGAAAAUUAUCCGGUAAUUCAGUUAGCCGCGUACAAGCAACAUGAAGAAAGUUAUCAACCUAUUCUGACCAGGGCAUCUCGACUACAAGGCCAUCAGACAUCCAGGCAACCUGAAAUCUGUAUCUUUUCUUUCAACCAAGCUAGUCUGCUAAAUGUGUUUAUUCUAGUGUUUUAAGUUAAUUUGAUUGCUUUAGCUCUUGCCGUUUUUACUGCCAGUUCUCUCUGUUUGAAGUUAACUUGAUUGCUAGUUUGCUCUAGCUCUUGCCGUUUCUUUUGUGCCAGUUGUUGUUGUUGUUGUAGACUCUGCUAUUAAGUUAACUGCUAGUGUGCUCUCCUAACUUUGCUAGGUUUGACCCGAUCUAACUCUGUUUUGACUUCCACUAACGAGGGAGUAUUUAACUAGAGGUUGAGUGAAGCGUUAGCUUCAGCGUUUGCAUAGCCUCGCCGUAUGAAGACGAGCUGAAGUAAGGCUAGGGAGUCUUUUGUGGGAGUCAAGACGAGCUGAACAAAGACUAGGGAGUCUUUCGUGGGAGUCAAGACGAGCUGAACAAUGACGAGGGAGUCUUUCGUGGGAGUCAAGACGAGCUGAACAAUGACGAGGGAGUCUUUCGUGGGAGUCAAGAGGAGCUGAACAAAGGCUUUGGGGCGGCUGAAUCUUUUCAGGAGCCACAAAAUCCUGAAAAUCAAAGGCCACAAGAUUCACCUCCAGCUGUCCAGGUACCUCCAAUAAAAUCCAAUUCAUGGACCCUGCUAAGGCCACAAAAUAAUGGGAGCUGCCACGAGACGCCUGCAUCAAGAGUUGGUGACACUGUCCAGUUCCCCCAGAAACAAGGACAUUCAUUCACCCGAAGGCCACAAGACAGUUCACAAAGUGGCAUCUGCAGCAAGACACUUGCAAGAGUCGACUCCUCAGCCUGUGCCAUCCUGGAGUUAUGAGGCCCUAUUUGAAACUACAACCUCAUUAAUGCGGGACAUGCUCACCAAGCAGGAGAUGAUUCUCGAGCAGCAAACGCACAUCCUAAAAAUUCUACAUGCCAGAAAACUCUCAAUUUGAAAUGGAUGAGGGUCUCCUGCCAGUAAGGGACCAGCAUGGCCUCAAAUCUUGAAAGCCAACUUCAGGAAUCUGACUUUCAAUCAAAACUGGCGUAUGAGAGAAUGAGGGUUUUUUUCUGACAAGAGGCACACAUAUACAUAAUCUUUUCUUUCUUUAGAUAAACCACCUCAGCCUGAUCGGCGGAAGUGGAUGUAAAGGAUACAGUGUGGCGGCCAAUGACAAUAUCAAACACCGUCGCACGGAGACCAAUUGGAGAGGAGUAAAUGGGAAAAUAUUCAUGGCUUCCCUACAACUGAAGAAGGCUGUAAUCGCUGCUGUAAGAAAGAACCCACUGACUUCGAGGGCUUCUGAACGUGAGGUGGAAAUGUUUAUGAAGAGCUGGCUACGGCUGCAGCGGAUCGAGAAGGGGGCAGAAGACGGCGAGCCAAAGUCCUUGUAGCUCCAUGAACAACGUUGAUUAAUGCAAUAAAAUAUUACAAAUUCGAGAGUGUAAAAUAUAUUAUAAUAGACUGC
ensembl:lncRNA